rnacentral:rRNA from 1 species
GAUGAACGCUAGCGGCAGGCCUAAUACAUGCAAGUCGAGGGGUAGAGUUAGCUUGCUAACUUGAGACCGGCGCACGGGUGCGUAACGCGUAUGCAACCUACCUUUAUCUGGGGGAUAGCCCGAAGAAAUUCGGAUUAACACCGCAUAAAAUCACAGUAUCGCAUGAUGCAAUGAUCAAAUAUUUAUAGGAUAAAGAUGGGCAUGCGUGUCAUUAGUUAGUUGGCGGGGUAACGGCCCACCAAGACCACGAUGACUAGGGGAUCUGAGAGGAUGACCCCCCACCACUGGUACUGAGACACGGACCAGACUCCUACGGAGGCAGCAGUAAGGAAUAUU